rnacentral:rRNA from 1 species
CUACGGUCUCAGUUCAGAUUGCAGGCUGCAACUCGCCUGCAUGAAGUUGGAAUUGCUAGUAAUCGCGAAUCAGAAUGUCGCGGUGAAUACGUUCCCGGGCCUUGUACACACCGCCCGUCACACCAUGAGAGUCGAUAACACCCGAAGCCUGUGAGCUAACCUUUUAGGAGGCAGCAGUCGAAGGUGGGGUUGAUGAUUGGGUGAAGUCGUAACAAGGUAAC